GGGCCAUUAGCUCAGCUGGUAGAGCACCCGACUCUUAAUCGGGCUGUCGAGGGUUCGAAUCCUUCAUGGCCCACCA
rnacentral:tRNA from 1 species